UGGGGGCAGAGGGCCGCUAUGUGGGGCAGAGAGGCUGUGAUGUGGGGCAGAGGGCCGCUAUGGUGGGGCAGAGGGCCGCUAUGUGGGGCAGAGAGGUCAUGAUGUGGGGCAGAGGGCUGUGAUGUGGGGCAGAGAGGCCGUGAUGUGGGGCAGAGGGGUGCUCUGUGGGGCAGAGCCCAUAGUGUGAUGGGGUCCUGUGGUUGCGCCAUGGGGCAGAGCCCCACAUGGCGGAGGUUAUGGGGCAGAGCCCAUAGUGUGAUGGGGUCAGGUGGUUGCGCUAUGGGGCAGAGCCCCACGUGGGGGAGGUUAUGGGGCAGAGCCCAUAGUGUGAUGGGGUCCGGUGGUUACGCUAUGGGGCAGAGCCCCACAUGGAGGAGGUUAUGGGGCAGAGCCCCACAUGGGGGAGGUUAUGGGGCAGAGCCCCACGUGGGGGAGGUUAUGGGGCAGAGCUCAUACUGUGAUGGGGUCCGGUGGUUACGCUAUGGGGCAGAGCCCCACGUGGGGGAGGUUAUGGGGCAGAGCCCAUAGUGUGAUGGAGUCCGGUGGUUACGCUAUGGGGCAGAGCCUUACAUGGGGGAGUUAUGGGGCAGAGCCCAUAGUGUGAUGGGGUCCUGUGGUUGUGCUAUGGGGCAGAGCCCCACAUGGAGGAGGUUAUGGGGCAGAGCCCAUAGUGUGAUGGGGUCCAGUGGUUACGCUAUGGGGCAGAGCGCCACGUGAGGGAGGUUAUGGGGCAGAGCCCAUAGUGUGAUGGUGUUCCGUGGUUACGCUAUGGGGCAGAGCCCCACAUGGCGGAGGUUAUGGGGCAGAGCCCAUACUGUGAUGGUGUUCCGUGGUUACGCUAUGGGGCAGAGCCCCACAUGGUGGAGGUUAUGGGGCAGAGCCCAUAGUGUGAUGGUGUUCCGUGGUUACGCUAUGGGGCAGAGCCCCACGUGGGGGAGGUUAUGGGGCAGAGCUCCUCGUAGGAGAGGUUAUGGGGCAGACCCAGCGCUAUGGGGCAGUUGCAGCACUAUAGGGCAGACCCACUGCUAUGGGUCCCACCCUUUGCUAUGGGGCAGAUGCAGUGCUAUGGGGCAGACCCGGCACUAUAGGGCAGAUGCAACACCAUAGGGCAGACCCACUGCUAUGGGUCACACCCAGCGCUAUGGGGCAGACGCAGUGCUAUGGGGCAGAGGUAGCGCUAUGGGUCACACCCAUUGCUGUGGGGCAGAGGUAGCGCUAUGGGUCACACCCAGCGCUAUAGGGCAGAGGUAGCGCUAUGGGCCACACCCAUUGCUGUGGGGCAGAGGCAGCGCUAUGGGUCACACCCAGCGCUAUGGGGCAGACCCAGUGCUAUGGGGCAGGGGCAGCGCUAUGGGUCACCCCCGUUGCUGUGGGGCAGCGGCAACGCUAUGGGGCAGACCCAGUGCUAUGGGCCACACCCAGCGCUAUGGGGCAGACCCACUGCUAUGGGUCACACCCAGCGCUGUGGGGCAGACCCACUGCUAUGGGUCACACCUGGUGCUAUGGGGCAGACCCACUGCUAUGGGUCACACCCAGCACUAUGGGUCACACCUGGUGCUAUGGGGCAGAGGCGGCGCUAUGGGUCACAUCUGGUGCUAUGGGGCAGAGGCGGCGCUAUGGGUCACAGCCAUUGCUGUGGGGCAGACCCGGUGCUAUGGGGCAGAGCCAGCACUAUAGGGCUGAUGCAGCACUAUAGGGCAGACCCACUGCUAUGGGUCACACCCGGCGCUAUGGGUCACACCUGGUGCUAUGGGGCAGAGGCGGUGCUAUGGGUCACAGCCAUUGCUGUGGGGCAGACGCAGUGCUAUGGGGCAGAUCCAGCACUAUAGGGCAGACCCAGUGCUAUGGGGCAGACCCACUGCUAUGGGUCACACCCGGCGCUAUGGGGCAGACCCGUUGCUGUGGGGCAGAGGCAAUGCUAUGGUGCAGACCCACUGCUAUGGGUCACACCCAGCGCUAUGGGGCAGACCCACUGCUAUGGGUCACACCUGGCGCUAUGGGGCAGACCCGGUGCUGUGGGGCAGAGGCGGCGCUAUGGGGCAGACCCACUGCUAUGGGUCACACCCGGUGCUAUGGGGCAGACCCGGUGCUGUGGGGCAGAGGCAAUGCUAUGGUGCAGACCCACUGCUAUGGGUCACACCCAGCGCUAUGGGGCAGACCCACUGCUAUGGGGCAGACCCGUUGCUGUGGGGCAGAGGCGGCGCUAUGGGGCAGAUUCCCGUGGAGGGCGCGGUCGGUGGGGCAGCGCCGUG
ensembl:lncRNA